AUAUAAGGAUCAAUCAUGUAAUGAAAGUGUAUAUAAAUACCCAACUUGCUUACCCUUUUCAAUAGCUCACAAGGAUUCUGCGUAACAUUAUCUUUUUAUAGCUUAUUGUAUACUCUUUGUCCUCCAAAUUUCUAGGGUUUCUUACCGAAUAAUUUUCUAUUUGAGAACGUGAUUUGGGAGUAAAACAAUUGGAUUUGGAAUCGGAACAAAUUUCAAUUAUUUAAUAUUGUGAAUGAUCUAAUGGAGUCAAAAGGUGGUAAAAAGAAGUCUAGUAGUAGUAGUUCCUUAUUUUACGAAGCUCCCCUCGGCUACAGCAUUGAAGACGUUCGACCAAACGGAGGAGUGAAGAAGUUCAGAUCUGCUGCUUACUCCAACUGCGCGCGCAAACCAUCCUGAUAUUCCCUAA